GAUGAACCCGUAAACGAUUGGCCGGAACUCGAUUCUUAGGUGAAUGCUGAAGGAGUAAAAUGGGAUGAACAAAAUAAAGAUUUGAUGAGAGCGCUUUAUACAUCUAACCUAACCUACUCAAUCCGAAGAUAGUGGRUACUUCACCAAUCAAGACUCACWGACAAAUCGUUCGUUGUCGCCGGAUGCUUCGCCCGAUAUUUUUUCAGCAGAUGAAACACGGAUUAAUAGCCCAUCGCCAAGACCGCCAUCAAGUCCCGUCAU